rnacentral:lncRNA from 1 species
AUGUUUACUUGUUGUGUACCAGUUUUCAGAGGCUCUAGGCUCAGGAAAGCCCAGAGUGUGAGACUGUUGUGUUGUUGUGGACAUCGGAUCAAGCCUCAUGGCCAAUUUGGCAGGAGGUACCCAAAGAACUCCACGCAGGAGAUCUUUGAAGAGCUACAUGAUGGGUUCGACUUCUCUCCCUCCCUAGUCAAGGGGCAGGAGCAGCAGGCCGCCAGCAGCAUCCUGUGCCGGUCUGAGGAACCCACCCUGUCCGUGGCUGAGGCCCGCACGAUGCUGACCCUCAAGGCAGGCGCAGUGCAGAAGGUGGUAGGAUGCCUGCAACCAUCUUUCCAUGGCAGAUCCAUCUCCGUCACCACCUUCCCGUGUGUGUACCAGGCCUUCUACCCGACCCCACAGGUCCUGGACCAGCUGCUCCAGAGUGCCCUCUCUCCCAUCUGGGGCCCCCGGCCUCAGGAGAACUCCCAGGAUAUGUGGCAGAUGCUGCGGCACUCCAGGAUCAACCUGACGUUGGCGUAUCUCCAGGACCUCUUGGCCUGGCUCAGUCCUGAAGCACCAGGCCACCCCUCUUCUCCUCCAGGUGGACCUUUUCCAGGCCACUGAGUUGGAGACAGAGGCUCCUGCCCCAGCUCUAGCACUUCUGCCAGGUGCAGAGGCAGAAAAGGGGUCACAUCUGGAGCUGGACGGAACUCCAGUUCUAUUUCUGCCAUCACUUCUAGCGCUGGAGCCGCCAGCAGCGCCCUCAGCUGCUCCAGACCCCGAGCGAGUGCCAUCAGCAGC